UACGUAGGGCGCAAGCGUUGUCCGGAAUUAUUGGGCGUAAAGAGCUCGUAGGCGGUUUGUCGCGUCUGCUGUGAAAACUCGGGGCUUAACUCCGGGCCUGCAGUGGGUACGGGCAGACUAGAGUGCGGUAGGGGAGACUGGAAUUCCCGGUGUAGUGGUGGAAUGCGUAGAUAUCGGGAGGAACACCAGUGGCGAAGGCGGUUGCCUGGAGCUUUGCUGACGCUGAUGCGCGAAAGCGUGGGGAGCGAUCCGG
rnacentral:rRNA from 1 species